CGAAGGAUCCAAGCGUUAUCCGGAUUUAUUGGGUUUAAAGGGUGCGUAGGCGGACUAUUAAGUCAGUGGUGAAAUCCUGCAGCUUAACUGCAGAACUGCCAUUGAUACUGAUGGUCUUGAGUACAUUUGAGGUGGGCGGAAUGGGUCAUGUAGUGGUGAAAUACUUAGAUAUGACACAGAACUCCGAUUGCGAAGGCAGCUCACUAAACUGUAACUGACGCUGAGGCACGAAAGCGUGGGGAUCAAACAGGAUUAGAUACCCUGGUAGUCCACGCCCUAAACGAUGAUUACUCGAUGUGUGCGAUACACUGUACGCGUCUAAGCGAAAGCAUUAAGUAAUCCACCUGGGGAGUACGGCCGCAAGGCUG
rnacentral:rRNA from 1 species